AACGAACGCUGGCGGCAUGCCUAACACAUGCAAGUCGAACGAGACCUUCGGGUCUAGUGGCGAACGGGUGAGUAACGCGUGGGAACCUGCCCUUAGGUUCGGAAUAACUCCCCGAAAGGGGUGCUAAUACCGGAUAAUUUCUUCGGACCAAAGAUUUAUCGCCUUUGGAUGGGCCCGCGUUGGAUUACCUAGUUGGUAGGGUAAAAGCCUACCAAGGCGACGAUCCAUAGCUGGUCUGAGAGGAUGAUCAGCCACACUGGGACUGAGACACGGCCCAGACUCCUACGGGAGGCAGCAGUAGGGAAUAUUGGACAAUGGGCGAAAGCCUGAUCCAGCAAUGCCGCGUGAGUGAUGAAGGCCUUAGGGUUGUAAAGCUCUUUUACCCGGGAUGAUAAUGACAGUACCGGGAGAAUAAGCUCCGGCUAACUCCGUG
rnacentral:rRNA from 1 species